UAUAGUUUUACAUAAUCUUGUACUGUUUUGUUGUUUUUAUUGUUAUAUGUGAUUUGAGAUUUGUACUUCUAAAAAGAUAUCCGUUUCAUUACUGUAUUAGGAGGAAUCCAAAAUUGUGUCAUAUGGGUACAUGAUGUUGCAAAGUGGGUACAUGUCGUUGCAAAGUGGAUACAAUUUGUUCCAGUGAAUGAUCAUCUUCUAUAGGCUUUAAUUUUGGUCAUCUCUUCUACGACGCUUUAUAUUUCAGCUAGUUUACUCAGUAUCUACUUCUGCAGUAGUUCUUUUGAGUUAUUUGUGUGGGUAUUACAGGGGAGAGGUUCACAUACUUUUCGUUCAGCCUAUAAAUGUGUGGUUUGCUGCGAAAUCGGUGGCAGGCAGAGGUUUACAUACAGGUAAUAUUUGGCUUACCGGCAUCAUCCUGUGAACAAAUUAAUGAGUACACACAUGAACCGUCAUGUUUUGCUGGCUGUGUUAUAUGUUUUCAACUGUUGAUGGCCUUAAUUUGAUGAUCUGAACUUCGAUUUGAACAUUUUGGCAUCUCUUUACCCUCCACAAGGACGAGGAGUUCUGGACAGCUUGGUUUGGCACUUUUUUGUUAUAAGCAUAUUGGAGAACUAGAAUCUGCUGUACUUUCCUAAAUUGGUAUGCCUCACAAAUUGUGAAAUCACAAAACCGACCUGAUCACAAGAAACCAUCAUUUGGCUAAUCUUAUCAAAUAUCGGGACCAACCAGACCGACCUGGUCUUUUUGCUCCUCAAAGCUUGCAAUUGUAUCUGAGAUUUG